rnacentral:rRNA from 1 species
CUUGACAUCCCAUUGACCACUGUAGAGAUUACAGUUUUCCCUUCGGGGACAACGGUGACAGGUGGUGCAUGGUUGUCGUCAGCUCGUGUCGUGAGAUGUUGGGUUAAGUCCCGCAACGAGCGCAACCCUUGAUCUUAGUUGCCAUCAUUUAGUUGGGCACUCUAAGGUGACUGCCGGUGACAAACCGGAGGAAGGUGGGGAUGACGUCAAAUCAUCAUGCCCCUUAUGACCUGGGCUACACACGUGCUACAAUGGACGAUACAAACGGUUGCCAACUCGCGAGAGGGAGCUAAUCCGAUAAAGUCGUUCUCAGUUCGGAUUGUAGGCUGCAACUCGCCUACAUGAAGCCGGAAUCGCUAGUAAUCGCGGAUCAGCAUGCCGCGGUGAAUACGUUCCCGGGCCUUGUACACACCGCCCGUCACACCACGAGAGUUUGUAACACCCGAAGUCGGUGAGGUAACCUUUUGGAGCCAGCCGCCGAAGGUGGGAUAGAUGAUUGGGGUGAAGUCGUAACAAGGUAGGCGUAGAUGA